rnacentral:rRNA from 1 species
UGGGGAAUAUUGCACAAUGGGCGCAAGCCUGAUGCAGCCAUGCCGCGUGUAUGAAGAAGGCCUUCGGGUUGUAUAGCACUUUCAGCGGGGAGGAAGGCGAUAAGGUUAAUAACCUCAUCGAUUGACGUUACCCGCAGAAGAAGCACCGGCUAACUCCGUGCCAGCAGCCGCGGUAAUACGGAGGGUGCAAGCGUUAAUCGGAAUUACUGGGCGUAAAGCGCACGCAGGCGGUCUGUCAAGUCGGAUGUGAAAUCCCCGGGCUCAACCUGGGAACUGCAUUCGAAACUGGCAGGCUAGAGUCUUGUAGAGGGGGGUAGAAUUCCAGGUGUAGCGGUGAAAUGCGUAGAGAUCUGGAGGAAUACCGGUGGCGAAGGCGGCCCCCUGGACAAAGACUGACGCUCAGGUGCGAAAGCGUGGGGAGCAAACAGG